GGGGCUGUAACUCAACGGUUAGAAUGCUCGCCUGUCUAGCGAGAAGUUGGGAGUUCGAAUCUCCUCAGUCCCG
rnacentral:tRNA from 2 species